rnacentral:rRNA from 1 species
UACAGAGGCCUCGAGCGUUAGGCGGAAUCACUGGGCUUAAAGCGUGUGUAGGUGGAUGCCUAAGUGCCUUGUGAAAUCCCAUGGCUUAACCAUGGAAUUGCUUGGCAUACUGGGUGUCUUGAGCCACUCAGGGGCUACUGGAACAAACGGUGGAGCGGUGAAAUGCGUAGAUAUCAAUCGGAACGCCAAAGGUGAAGACAGCCGGCUGGGCCAAUCCUGACGCUGAGGCACGAAAGCGUGGGGAGCAAACAGG